rnacentral:rRNA from 1 species
GACGAACGCUGGCGGCGUGCUUAACACAUGCAAGUCGAACGGAAAGGCCCUGCCUUUGUGGGUUUCUUUAGUGGCGAACGGGUGAGUAACACGUGAGUAACCUGCCCUUGACUUUGGGAUAACUUCAGGAAACUGGGGCUAAUACCGGAUAUGAGCUCCUGCUGCAUGGUGGGGGUUGGAAAGUUUCGGCGGUAGGGGAUGGACUCGCGGCUUAUCAGCUUGUUGGUGGGGUAGUGGCUUACCAAGGCGUUGACGGGUAGCCGGCCUGAGAGGGUGACCGGCCACAUUGGGACUGAGAUACGGCCCAGACUCCUACGGGAGGCAGCAGUGGGGAAUAUUGCACAAUGGGCGGAAGCCUGAUGCAGCGACGCCGCGUGCGGGAUGACGGCCUUCGGGUUGUAAACCGCUUUCGCCUGUGACGAAGCGUGAGUGACGGUACUGGGUAAAGAAGCGCCGGCUAACUACGUG